rnacentral:misc_RNA from 1 species
GAUGAAGAACGCAGCGAAAUGCGAUAUGUAGUGUGAAUUGCAGAAUUCAGUGAAUCAUCGAAUCUUUGAACGCACAUUGCACCUCUCGGUACUCCGGGAGGUAUGCCUGUUCGAGCGUCAUUUGUACCCUCAAGCUCUGCUUGGUGUUGGGUGUUUGUUCCGCCUCUGUGUGUGAACUCGCCUCAAAACAAUUGGCAGCCGGCGUACUUGUUUCGGAGCGCAGCACAUUUUGCGAUCCAGAUCAACGUACAGCGGCAUCCAAGAAGCCUUAUUUAACGCUCUUGACCUCGGAUCAGGUAGGGAUACCCGCUGAACUUAAGCAUAUCAAUAAGCGGAGGA